GGAUUUUUUUUGCCAAAAUAAAUAUGGGAAUUUGGGACGAAGAGAAUUUUUUUAGUAAAAAAAUAGCAAUUGCAUGCGUGUGCCUUGCAUUAGCGUUCUCUGUAUCAUAGAACAAAACUAUCAACAAUUUAUUAUUUUUUCCCUUUUUUGUCAGAGAUUAAACCCACGCUCGCUCAUCUCUGUUCCCUCGUUUCACUGGGCACAAAAUCUAGCCUUGUGCACAAAUUUUUCUCCUCAAUUUGUCUACUAAGGUUUUGCUAUCAUGACGCUUCUCUCCCAUCUCUAUGUAAACCUCCUUAGGACCAUACAACUCCGUCUCUCCUAUUGGCCGGCUUGUCUUUGGCUCUUUGCUGAUCAGAUGACGUCUUUGGUGGGGCGUACUUAGUCAGGAUCACCAAUGUUAAAGAUUAGACUAAUUUUAGCUUUACCUAACCCUAACGGUGCCGCCCCGGGGUGCCUACUUCCACGAGUCUCGAACUUUUCUAUCAUGGGGUGCUUUAUUUGGUGGUUUUUAAUACUUGAGUUGGGAGUUUUAAUUGUUUUGACUAUUUUGUUUUUGGACUUAAUUGGGAGGUUCGGAAAGAGCCCCCGUCGGUCCAAAACAAGGACAUGAGAGGGUGUUACACGUCUGCUGGUUCAGGGACACCUCUGGGUUGCGCAAGUUAACAGUGCUGAAUGCGCGGCGUAUGGGUUUACAUGAUUCAGGAGACGCGUGCCUUCUCAUUUUCUUUGCUUGGAUUGAAGGGAGCUCCAAGCAUUAAGUUGCUUCUCAUAUACUGAUCUCCAUCUGAUAUCUAUCCAUUUCACUUUGCUUUAUAUAAAUGUUUACUUGCUUUUUGUUCUUUCAAAAUCUGCCCGUUGUCACCACUUACCAUUUUGCCAAAAAGAAAAAAACAAAGGUAAUUGAUACGAUUGCAGAAAGUGCUUUUGCCUUGCAAAAACAGUGUUUGUGAAACGUUUUAAUGGAUGCAGGAUCAUUGAUAAGGUUUUCAACGCAAGCCAACUAAUCAGCUAGGCCUUCCUGCCUAAUCAACGCUCAAAGCGCCAAUAAAUGCUUGUGCAUGAUCUAAAGAAACCGAGGCAACUUUCUUAUGUGAUAUAUUUUCGUAAAAAUAUAAAGUAUUAAUUUUAUAGCAUUUCAUCAAUCUUAAUUUCUUUAUUUUAUGAAAUCACUUUUUGA